GACGAACGCUGGCGGCGUGCUUAACACAUGCAAGUCGAGCGGUAAGGCCCUUUCGGGGGUACGACGAGCGGCGAACGGGUGAGUAACACGUGGGUGACCUGCCCUCAGCUCUGGGAUAAGCCUGGGAAACCGGGUCUAAUACUGGAUAUGACUCCAUGACGCAUGUUGUGGGUGGAAAGCCUUGUGCGGCUGAGGAUGGGCCCGCGGCCUAUCAGCUUGUUGGUGGGGUGAUGGCCUACCAAGGCGACGACGGGUAGCCGGCCUGAGAGGGCGACCGGCCACACUGGGACUGAGACACGGCCCAGACUCCUACGGGAGGCAGCAGUGGGGAAUCUUGCGCAAUGGGCGAAAGCCUGACGCAGCGACGCCGCGUGAGGGAUGACGGCCU
rnacentral:rRNA from 1 species